ACGGACUUAGAGCCCAUGAAGAAGAAACUAACACACACACCUAUACAGGCUGACACACAUCUACACCAAACACACAUGCGCACACUUACCUGAACCACAACCACACACACUCACCCAAUCCACAUACAUGUUCACACACUCGCCUACACUCACACACAAACACUCAUAUGCUCACCUACAUGCAUACACUCACUGGAAACACACCCACACAAACGUAGACACACACAUCAAUGAUGAUUCCUGAAAAACACACAUAUUAUGUGUGGAAAGGAGGUGUGUGUGUCAUUGGAAGGAGAUGCUUCUAUGCAUCACUCAGAUGGUGAAAGCUGCACAGCUCUCAGAGUACAGAUGAGUCUGUCUACUAACUCCUCCAUGACUGGAGCAGGAGGGAGAGGCUGGCUGGUAUCCACUGGUGUAGGGCCAGCCUCCUCUCAUUGCAGUCCAGUAUUAAUCACUGGGAGGAGCUGGAGAUCUGAUCCUGUAUCAGAAGCUGGGAACUACUUUUACUCAUGUCAGGUGACAGGUCAUCUGUAACAGUUGUCAUUCCGUCUGGUGGUGGAAUAACCACACUCCAUCUGCCAUUCAUCUAGCUGACACACACACACAAACACGUACUCAUACACACAGACACACACACACAUACACACACCUCUGUAUUUUGUGAACAGAGAUGAGAUUGUUCAGAGACCAGACUGUCACUCAAGUCCUCCUUUCUCUUCUGUUCAGUUCAAUAAAGAUUCAUUGGAUUCAGUA